rnacentral:rRNA from 1 species
CGACCACAGGCGAUGAAAGACGCGGCAGCCUGCGAAAAGCUCCGGGGAGUGGGCAACACACCUUGAUCCGGAGAUCUCUGAAGUCGGGGAAACCCACCCGCAAGGGUAUCUUGAACUGAAUCCAUAGGCUCAAGAGGCGAACCCGGGGGAACUGAAACAUCUCAGUACCCGGAGGAACAGAAAUCAACCGAGAUUCCCGUCAGUAGCGGCGAGCGAACGCGGAACAGCCACCGGCAGCUAACCAGAAGGUCAGGAGAACGACUUGGAAAAGUCGGCCACAGCGGGUGACAGCCCCGUAUCCGAAAAACCUUUUGGCGAGACUAAGGCCGGAACCAGUAGGGCGGGGCACGUGAAACCCUGUCUGAACAUGGGGGGGACCAUCCUCCAAGGCUAAAUACUCGUGGUCGACCGAUAGUGAACCAGUACCGUGAGGGAAAGGCGAAAAGAACCCCGGCGAGGGGAGUGAAAUAGACCCUGAAACCGUAUGCGUACAAGCAGUCGGAGCCUCUUCGUGAGGUGACGGCGUACCUUUUGUAUAAUGGGUCAGCGACUUACUUUCAGUGGCC